GACGAACCGUGCGAACGUUGUUCGGAAUCACUGGGCUUAAAGGGCGCGUAGGCGGCAGAUCAAGUCCGGGGUGAAAGCCCCCAGCUCAACUGGGGAAGUGCCUUGGAUACUGAUUUGCUCGAGGGAGGUAGGGGUCGAGGGAACUUCUGGUGGAGCGGUGAAAUGCGUUGAUAUCAGAAGGAACGCCGGUGGCGAAAGCGCUCGACUGGAUCUCUUCUGACGCUGAGGCGCGAAAGCUAGGGGAGCAAACGGG
rnacentral:rRNA from 1 species